GUUCCGGUGAUCUAGUGAUUAGAGCGUCCGCCUCGAAUGCGGGAGGUCGUGGGUUCGAUCCCCAGCCGAGUCA